rnacentral:rRNA from 1 species
UACGGAGGGUGCAAGCGUUAUCCGGAUUCACUGGGUUUAAAGGGUGCGUAGGUGGGCAGGUAAGUCAGUGGUGAAAUCUUUGGGCUUAACCCGAAAACUGCCAUUGAUACUAUUGUCUUGAAUAUUGUGGAGGUCAGCGGAAUAUGUCAUGUAGCGGUGAAAUGCUUAGAUAUGACAUAGAACACCAAUUGCGAAGGCAGCUGGCUACACAUAUAUUGACACUGAUGCACGAAAGCGUGGGGGAUCAA